rnacentral:misc_RNA from 1 species
AAGCAGAGAUUAGGCACGCGGAGCCGAAAGAUCUUCCUGAAGUCAUAGAGAUGGGCCGCGAGUUUUUCGAUCAGUCUGGAAAUAAUUUCACGGUGUUCGACGAGGCGUCAUUUACCGCGACAGUUAUUGCACUGAUGAGCGGAGUUUCAAACGGAUCCUUGCUUGUCGCAGAGUCGGCGGAUCGCCUCGUCGGGAUGACUGCCUGCGUGGUGUUCCCGUUCUACGCAAACAUGGCAACGAAGAUAGGCCAAGAAAUUUUCUGGUUCGUGAAGUCGGAUCAUCGGAA